CAUAUUUCUUCUGGAGAGUACCCAUUGCAAUUUGCUAAUCUUCUUAAGGAUGUGAUGGGAAAUAAGACCUGUGCGGUUCAACCUUUCAACUUGCAAUUAAUGUUCAGGAAAGAGAGGUCAUUACUGGUUGGAGUAACAGUAUCGGAUGCUCCAUGGAAAAUUUUUAUCCAUACUAUUCUUCUCUCUAUAUCACCAUAAGUGAUUGGAUAUGGUACAGGAAGAAAAAGAUGUGAAGGGAAAUAAAACCUAUGAAGUUCAACCUUACAACUUGCAAAUUGUUUAUCCCGUUGAGGGACAUUUGGAUUAUUUGCAGGUUUUGGUAAUUAGAAAUAAAGGUUCUGUAGAGAUUCCUGAUACUGGGACGAGAGAGAUUCUUACGGGAGAUUUGAAGAGCCGAAGUGAAGCAGCAGCUGUUUUGUAGCUU
rnacentral:lncRNA from 1 species